rnacentral:lncRNA from 1 species
CCAAACAAAAUAAGACCUUACGUUAUCAUUCCAACCCAUCAAUAAAAUAGAUACUAUGACAAGGAGAUUAAAUAAAUAUUCUAAGUUUUGCUACUCAUCUGUAUUGGAUUAAGCUCCAGGUGUUUGAGUGUAUUUCUUAAAUAUUAGCUUUUAAUUUAUACAGAGGCAUUACCAUGUUUGGAGUUUUUCCACAUUUCUAUGGUGUAAUCCUCAUUUUUUGAAUAAUACUUUGAGCUAAAGUGCUGUAAUCAAUGUGCAAUGCACAUCAUGCUGCUAUUGCCUUCCACCUUUGACUUGCUUUUCUUUUCAAGAAAACCCUCCAAACCUAACAAAAUAGGUAACUUGAGAAGAAGAAUUGCUGUAGAACAAAAAAAGACAUUGCUUAUAGGUAGAUAUACUCCUUAACAAAUACGAGUAAGCUUCUAUCAAUCACACUUACCUAGUAAAUCUGCAUUUAAUUUAUCAUGACAGGAGUCCUACAUACUGUAUUUCUAAUUUUUCUUCAAUGUGUCUACAAAGUUCUUUGCUUAAAAUUAAGGAUCUUCCAACUUUCAAUUUUUCAUGAAGAAACCUUACACUGUUUUCAUGAGUAUGUGUCUUUCUGCGUUUAAUGAAGAAAAAGGCGUGAACUUUGGCAUCUUCCAUGCCGCCUCAGUGCUCAGAAUGAAUAUUACUAUGUAGAUGCAUCUACUAAUAAUGACUGACUGCUAGACAGGCUAACAUCUGUAUCAACUUUCUGUAAUAUCUUCAAUUAUGAGACAGAAUCAGGAAAAAAUUGGAAACUUCAGCUAUACAAUAUCAUCUAUGUGUGAUAAAUGCAUUACAUUUUUUUAGGAUCACGUCUUCAUUAAAAUUGGAGCUACCUUAAUUCUGAACCUGGAAAAACUUUUCUAUAAAAGUAUGUACCUAAAUAUAAUAGUGCCCCCCUAUCCAUGUAAUUUUUAAGAUAUACUGUCCACAGAGUUUACUUCAAAAUAGGUGAAAUGGUAUCAGAUAUAGGCCAAUCUUCAUUGUGACAUUGCUGCAGAAAAUGCAAAAGGGGAUUAAUGAAAUAGAAUGAAUGUUGCAAGUGCAUUCUUUGGAAAAAUAUAUCAGGUAUCUAUUCUGGUGUAGAGAUGGGAUGUUAGAGGCAUGUUGAAGGCUGCUCUGCUAUCACCAGUGUAGGAUAAGAGUAGUACAAUACAUGUACACUUGAAAUCUGCUGUAGCGUGUUUGUGUAAACUAAAUGUGCACAUUUUGUUAAAAAAAAUAAAAUAAA